UUUUGAAUACAUUAAUGUAGGCAUCUAAUUUCAUGGGUUUUCUCUUUCCGCUCUUGUUUUCAGAUAAGCAAGCUCAAAGAAUGUGAUCAAAAAUGGAUGCUGAUGAGCCUACUGUUCAAAAGGUCUGACAGUGCUCAGGAAUCCCACUUUGGUUUGAAGUCUCAUUAUGCUGGAAAGUAAGGGCCAGUCAUCUAUUCCUACACUGAAUGUUUCUUCUUAGUUCAUUGUCAAAGUCCAAAUAAUAUUUUUAAUAGUACAUAUAUUUCAUCC
rnacentral:lncRNA from 1 species